UCCCCCUGCUAACUGGGCAAAGAGGCACCUUUGCGGUGGUGUCCCUCUUAAAUCUAGCAGGGGCAGAGCAACCAUCCCUGUUCAUCCCAGUGCAGUCCUUGUGGCUGCAGCUGGUUCAUGCUGGGGGGACAAGG